rnacentral:misc_RNA from 1 species
CACCACUCAAGCCUGGCUUGGUAUUGGGCGUCGCGGCUCCGCGCGCCUUAAAGUCUCCGGCUGAGCUGUCCGUCUCUAAGCGUUGUGGAAUUUAACUAUUCGCUUCGGAGCGCGGGCGGUUCGCGGCCGUUAAAUCUUUAUUCAA